AAUCUCCACUCUAUUGAUAAAAGUAUGAGCUGCAACGAUGCCUUCAAUUAAGAAGGAGCUAGAAUUCUCGCCCCAAUACAGUACAUCCGGUCAAAAGGCCCGAUAAUUUAUAUCGUUACAUCUAUCUCCUCGUAAGGAACAAAACAAGGUUAUAAUUUGAAGGACCUAAGAGCAGUUUUCAUAAAAAUUGGUAAUCACAUGUAGAACGUUCUUCAUAAUGUACGUCCUAUAGAAGAUUUUCUUUUGACUGAGGGGUUUGAUGUGUCGUUGUCUGGUCGUGCCUGAUUGGUUUCUAUACUGACAUUUGUGGAUGUGUCUUGCGUAGAGAACUUAACAGCAACGAUUGCUCAUUUGGGUUUUCGGACUCAGAUUGUUCAUUUUCUUUCUCAGAAAAUCGUUGUCUUGGUAGAUUAAAGUCAUCUCCGAAUCGUUAGAAAUGAAAUGAGUAAUUUGGAGCAAAAUUCACCCAGCCAUUGUACCCAUCAUGCUCGCUCUGCAAUCUUCAGAAACGUUGUGAAUAUCAGUGGGACUAGUGUAGAAGAUUCUGCCAGAACGUGACAUCAUGCAGCUGAGGAAAAUAUAUCUGUUUUAAAGAGGAAUGAUUUGUCAAUCACUUUGAAAAUACAAGUUCUUAUUAAACGUCUUGUAAAAUUGUCGUGUUGCUUACAAAGGCCAAGAGAGUUGAUAUAAUACGGGCAUAUUCAACUAAUUCAAGUUACAUCAUCGAUGUGAGGUUCUCUAAGUGAUCACGUCUUUAAUAAGGCAUGAGCGUACAUACACAAUAAAAAAACACAUGUUGUAGACAAGUGAAAAAUUAAUCAUUUUAAGAAAUAUACAACAAAUGAAAUUACUUCAACUAAUAUCAUUAUAACUUAUAUAUUUGUAAAUGCCACGUUUGCGUCUAUUACAGUUCCUUUAAAAAUAAAGCAUGAAUUAAUUAUCAA